rnacentral:rRNA from 1 species
GUGAGGAAUAUUGGUCAAUGGACGGAAGUCUGAACCAGCCAUGCCGCGUGCAGGAAUAAGGUCCUAUGGAUUGUAAACUGCUUUUAUUCGGGAAUAAACCUCUUUACGUGUAGGGAGCUGAAGGUACCGAAGGAAUAAGCACCGGCUAACUCCGUGCCAGCAGCCGCGGUAAUACGGAGGGUGCAAGCGUUAUCCGGAAUCAUUGGGUUUAAAGGGUCCGCAGGCAGGCUAUCAAGUCAGAGGUGAAAUCCCACAGCUUAACUGUGGAACUGCCUUUGAAACUGAUGGUCUUGAAUUAAGUGGGCGUUGGCGGAAUAUGACAUGUAGCGGUGAAAUGCAUAGAUAUGUCAUGGAACACCGAAAGCGAAGGCAGCUAACGAUACUUAUAUUGACGCUCAUGGACGAAAGCGUGGGUAGCGAACAGGAUUAGAUACCCGAGUAGUCC